GAUGAACGCUGGCGGCGUGCUUAACACAUGCAAGUCGAACGAGAAAUGUAGACGGAAACCUUCGGGCGGAAGCCUUCAUUUCGAGUGGCGGACGGGUGAGUAACGCGUGGGUAACCUGCCUCAUACAGGGGGAUAACAGUUGGAAACGACUGUUAAUACCGCAUAAGACCACAGCAUCGCAUGAUGCGGGGGUAAAAACUCCGGUGGUAUGAGAUGGACCCGCGUUCGAUUAGCCAGUUGGCGGGGUAACGGCCCACCAAAGCGACGAUCGAUAGCCGAUCUGAGAGGAUGACCGGCCACAUUGGGACUGAGACACGGCCCAAACUCCUACGGGAGGCAGCAGUGGGGAAUAUUGCAUAAUGGGGGAAACCCUGAUGCAGCGACGCCGCGUGAGUGAAGAAGUACUUCGGUAUGUAAAGCUCUAUCAGCAGGGAAGAAAAUGACGGUACCUGAGUAAGAAGCCCCGGCUAACUACGUG
rnacentral:rRNA from 1 species